GAUGAACGCUAGCGGCAGGCCUAACACAUGCAAGUCGAGGGGCAGCACAGAGACAGCAAUGUUUUGGAGGCGACCGGCGGACGGGUGCGUCACGCGUAUGCACCAUACCUUUAACAGGGGGCUAACGGAGAGAAAUUUCCACUAAUACCACAUAACAUCGAUAAAGGCAUCAUGAUGGGUUGAAAACUCUGGUGGUUAAAGAUGGGCAUGCGUUGUAUUAGGUAGUUGGUGAGGUAAUGGCUCGCCAAGCCUACGAUACAUAGGGGGACUGAGAGGUUGGCCCCCCAGACUGGUACUGAGACACGGACCAGACUCCGACGGGAGGCAGCAGUGAGGAAUAUUGGUCAAUGGGGGCAACCCUGAACCAGCCAUGCCGCGUGCAGGAAGACGGCUCUAUGAGUUGUAAACUGCUUUUAAACAGGGAUAAAGCACAGUAUGUAUACUGUGUUGAAGGUACUGUAAGAAUAAGGAUCGGCUAACUCCGUGCCAGCCGCCGCGGUAA
rnacentral:rRNA from 1 species